UUUCCGUAGGUGAACCUGCGGAAGGAUCAUUAACGAACAACGGGGUUCGCCCCUUGUCCACAAACACACCCCCGUGCACGUUGAAGGCCCGGCUCGUUGAGUGGGCGGGCGACCGCCCAGGAUUCGUAGCCUCGCUUUCUUACACAAACUUCAGAAUGUACAUCGGAAUGUCUUACGCGUGUAACGCAUCGUAAUAUAACUUUCAGCAACGGAUCUCUUGGCUCUCGCAUCGAUGAAGAACGCAGCGAAAUGCGAUAAGUAAUGUGAAUUGCAGAAUUCAGUGAAUCAUCGAAUCUUUGAACGCACCUUGCGCUCCUUGGCAUUCCGAGGAGCAUGCCUGUUUGAGUGUCAUGAAACUCUCAACCCCUGCCAUCUUUGCGGAUGAGCGUCGGUUGGAUUUUGGAGGUUGCCGGACUCGUUCGGCUCCUCUUGAAAGCAUAGUGUAAGCUUGGACCUGACCGACCGAGUGGACGUGAUAGAAAGUCACCGUCGACUGAAAGGGUCCGUCGUUGAACGGUUCAAGCUUUGUUUCAUCGUCUUCGGACGAACAUCUCUGACCUC
rnacentral:rRNA from 2 species